AUUCUAACUCUUCUCUUUAUUUUUUUAAUAAAGUUAAGUAUUUUUUUGGUAGAGUUUGAGAAAGUUCAAGGAAGAAAGUUUCAGACAAAAACUACGUAAUGUGUGGGGGGAUGUAACCAAGAUUGACGUGAUCAACCACCUGUUUAAAAUAUUGGCUUAAAUUGUGGUUGAAGUUCAUGAACUCAAGAAAAAAUGGCACACACAUUCUUAAACCCUGCGCAAAAAAAAUGUGUAAAGGCAAAACCCGGCCGUGCGAAAAACUAUGAAGUAGCAGAAGAAAGGCUAAAAUCCAGAUUCCACGAACAAUAAAGCGCUUCACACGCGAAAGCAGAGAGCAAACCCAGAAACCCUUCCUUUCUCUCUUUCUCCUUCGCGAACAAAAAACCCUAAGUAGGAGAAGUGUAGCAGCGCCGCAGCCGGCGGUGAAUUUGCCGGUGAGUUUGCUGACAGCCCGACCCCCGACGCACUUCAGUCUUCAGUAUAUACGUAUGUACAGUAGCAGCGCCGUGUAGACGUCUAAGAGACGAAGACUGAUUUUCCGAUUUUCCGAUUUUCCGGUAGACUAAUUCGCAAAAGAAUCUGAUUUUCCGCCUUUCCGACAACAACACCAACAGAGUGCGGCAGGCCGGCUGCAAGGCGGGCGGCAGCAGGCGGCGGCAGCAGGCGGCAAACACUUCAGAUAGAUGGAUGAACUGCUUGAUACGAUUAAAGAUCCCUUUUCUCUUUCAUGCUUUAUUUGGGUGUCGGAUGCCUUGCUCCUCUGAUAGUACUUUGGCGAAGCUCAUACGCAUAAAUGUAAAGUGAAUGCGGAAGAAUUUGAAGAUAAGGUGGAUAUCGACUAGGAUGUUUGCUAUUGGAUUUGAACCAACAACUCCCGCCGUGUGAAGACAAUACUCUAACCGUUGAGUUAAGUAGGCCUUUUAUCAUUCCAAAGAGGACUAAAUAAAACCUUCACAUAGAUUGAUUGUAAUGUUUCUAAAAUUUGGUUUCUGAAUCGUUUAUGUAGUUUGGCAUUUUCUUAAUUUACCCUUUUUGUGAAAGAUAUUGAUUGAAA